GACGAACGCUGGCGGCGUGCUUAACACAUGCAAGUCGAACGAUGAAGCCGGAGCUUGCUCUGGUGAAUUAGUGGCGAACGGGUGAGUAACACGUGAGUAACCUGCCCUUGACUCUGGGAUAACUGCGGGAAACUGUAGCUAAUACCGGAUACGACCCUCGGAGGCAUCUCCUGGGGGUGGAAAGAAUUUCGGUCAAGGAUGGACUCGCGGCCUAUCAGCUAGUUGGUGAGGUAAAGGCUCACCAAGGCGACGACGGGUAGCCGGCCUGAGAGGGUGACCAGCCACACUGGGACUGAGGCACGGCCCAGACUCCUACGGGAGGCAGCAGUGGGGAAUAUUGCACAAUGGGCGGAAGCCUGAUGCAGCAACGCCGCGUGAGGGAUGACGGCCUUCGGGUUGUAAACCUCUUUUAGCAGGGAAGAAGCGAAAGUGACGGUACCUGCAGAAAAAGCGCCGGCUAACUACGUGCCAGCAGCCGCGGUAA
rnacentral:rRNA from 1 species